ACAAUUCAGAAUCCUAUGUGAUUCUUCUCUUCCUUUCUGCUUCUCCUUAUUUUCUCAGUUCUUCAACUCUAUGCUCAAUUGCUCAUUCCUCCAUGACUCCGUACUUCUCUUCGUCCAGCAUUUUCCCUUGCAAUUCAGCUUCAUAUUAGUCAGCUUCAGUCCCCUUAUUUUCGUUAGGCCAUUUUGCAAUCCUUAAAACCACCACCAGAUCUUGAUUAACUAUCAAAUCCGAUUUCUUUCAUGCCUCUUCAACUUUUUCCUAUAAAAGUAUAUAAUUAUCCUUUGUUUUUAGGCAAAGCAAGAUGAAUAACAGUUCAGAAUCCUAUGUGAUUCUUCUCUUCCUUUCUUCUUCUCCUUAUUUUCUCAGUUCUUCAACUCUAUGCUCAAUUGCUCAUUCCUCCAUGAUUCUGCACUUCUCUUCGUCGAACAUUUUCCCUUGCAAUUCAGCUUCAUAUCAGUCAGCUUCAGUCCCCUUAUUUCAUGUGUUUAAGUUCAAUUAUUGUUUCCUUUGUUGAACUCUUGUUUGUUAGAGUCUUG
rnacentral:lncRNA from 1 species